UGAUAUCCUUGGGGAGAGAGUUCCAGAGCUUGGGGGUGCAACAGGAGAAGGCCCUGUCACCCACAGAGUGUACAAAACACAUCAAUCAAAGGAUCUGCAGGUAAUGUGUGUCUUAACCAUUAGGAAAAAAAUUAAAUGAGAAUGGUUUUCAUGAUGGGCAGCACAGUGUGCAGCAGUUAGCAAUUCCAGGGGUGCAGCCUGGGAGAAGUUUGGAGGGCCAUUUUUUCUCAGAAACCAGUAACCUACCAGAAUGUCUGUGGGCUGUGCAAAGAAACCAGAGCACCUAGAGGACGGAAACACACAAAACCACAGGGAGAACGUAAGAACCACACAGGUGUCAUCCCAGGGAUGAAAAGGGACUCAGGAUUGCAAGGCAGCAAUGCUAAUCACUUUCCUCUUCUUGUCCGUCUCCCGAUUGUCCACCUGCGGCUUCUGGAUGUCCUCUUCUUGUCCGUGUCCUGACUGUCCACCUGCGACUUCAGUCUUUCCUGCUUCUUGUCCAUGUCCUGACUGUCCACCUGCGACUUCAGUCUUUCCUGCUUCUUGUCCAUCUCCUGGCUGUCCACCUGAGGAUUUGGAUUCUCCUGCUUCUUCUCCAUCUCCUGACUGUCCACCUGCGUCCUCAGACUUUCCUGCUUGUUGUCUGUCUCCUGACUGUCCACCUGAGGAUUUGGACUCUCCUGCUUCUUCUCCAUCUCCACCUGCAGCCUCAGACUUUCCUGCUUCUUGUCUGUCUCCUGACUGUCCACCUGCGGCCUCAGACUUUCCUGCUUCUUGUC
rnacentral:lncRNA from 1 species